GUGCUUAUAUUUCAAACUGACCCUAUCUUGCUAUGGUGUAGGAGGGUCCCACCAAUCAAUGUCCGCGUGACCUAUGCCCUAGGAAUAGUCACCCUUUUCCCCAAUUUGAAGGAUAAGGCUUCACCAACUGGUUAUGAACAUUACUACGAUCCUCACAGUGGCCAAGGUUACCUGGCCUACAGAUUGAAAACGGUUCAGCGCAAUACCACAAGUGACUUAAAGAGGAGCCCCAAGUCUGCGGAUCAACAUGGCCCUAAGACCCUGCGUGAGACAUCAACAUCUGAGCAGCUGUCAGGUGAUGAAUGCAGAGAAGCGAUGUCCAUGAUGAAGCAUUCAGCAGACCAACCAGUUGUUAAGGAGAAAAUGAAGGCAACCUUCAAGCACCGUCAGAGUAUGCUACACGAUCCAGACCAGUCUUUAGUUAUCCUAGAUCACUUCCCCCGAUUCUUGGAUACACCAGGCUUGAUUAACCAAGACUUCACAAUGCUAUUUGGAGAAGAUGUCUCGGGCAAGUUUAUUGCAAAAUGGCCAACGUUCUACAAACCUAGGAUUAUCGCUGUCUGCAAAGGCCUUCGCCCUGGUACUCAUGUGGAUGACCUUCUGUCCGCUCAAGAGGAAUCGAAUGA